UUACGAACGCUGGCGGCGUGCCUAAUACAUGCAAGUCGAACGCUUCUUUCCUCCCGAGUGCUUGCACUCAAUUGGAAAGAGGAGUGGCGGACGGGUGAGUAACACGUGGGUAACCUACCCAUCAGAGGGGGAUAACACUUGGAAACAGGUGCUAAUACCGCAUAGCAGUUUAUGCCGCAUGGCAUAAGAGUGAAAGGCGCUUUCGGGUGUCGUUGAUGGAUGGACCCGCGGUGCAUUAGCUAGUUGGUGAGGUAACGGCUCACCAAGGCCACGAUGCAUAGCCGACCUGAGAGGGUGAUCGGCCACACUGGGACUGAGACACGGCCCAGACUCCUACGGGAGGCAGCAGUAGGGAAUCUUCGGCAAUGGACGAAAGUCUGACCGAGCAACGCCGCGUGAGUGAAGAAGGUUUUCGGAUCGUAAAACUCUGUUGUUAGAGAAGAACAAGGACGUUAGUAACUGAACGUCCCCUGACGGUAUCUAACCAGAAAGCCACGGCUAACUACGUGCCAGCAGCCGCGGUAAUACGUAGGUGGCAAGCGUUGUCCGGAUUUAUUGGGCGUAAAGCGAGCGCAGGCGGUUUCUUAAGUCUGAUGUGAAAGCCCCCGGCUCAACCGGGGAGGGUCAUUGGAAACUGGGAGACUUGAGUGCAGAAGAGGAGAGUGGAAUUCCAUGUGUAGCGGUGAAAUGCGUAGAUAUAUGGAGGAACACCAGUGGCGAAGGCGGCUCUCUGGUCUGUAACUGACGCUGAGGCUCGAAAGCGCGGGGAGCAAACAGGAUUAGAUACCCUGGUAGUCCACGCCGUAAACGAUGAGUGCUAAGUGUUGGAGGGUUUCCGCCCUUCAGUGCUGCAGCAAACGCAUUAAGCACUCCGCCUGGGGAGUACGACCGCAAGGUUGAAACUCAAAGGAAUUGACGGGGGCCCGCACAAGCGGUGGAGCAUGUGGUUUAAUUCGAAGCAACGCGAAGAACCUUACCAGGUCUUGACAUCCUUUGACCGCUCUAGAGAUAGAGCUUUCCCUUCGGGGACAAAGUGACAGGUGGUGCAUGGUUGUCGUCAGCUCGUGUCGUGGGAUGUUGGGUUAAGUCCCGCAACGAGCGCAACCCUUAUUGUUAGUUGCCAUCAUUUAGUUGGGCACUCUAGCGAGACUGCCGGUGACAAACCGGAGGAAGGUGGGGAUGACGUCAAAUCAUCAUGCCCCUUAUGACCUGGGCUACACACGUGCUACAAUGGGAAGUACAACGAGUCGCUAGACCGCGAGGUCAUGCAAAUCUCUUAAAGCUUCUCUCAGUUCGGAUUGCAGGCUGCAACUCGCCUGCAUGAAGCCGGAAUCGCUAGUAAUCGCGGAUCAGCACGCCGCGGUGAAUACGUUCCCGGGCCUUGUACACACCGCCCGUCACACCACGAGAGUUUGUAACACCCGAAGUCGGUGAGGUAACCUUUUUGGAGCCAGCCGCCUAAGGUGGGAUAGAUGAU
rnacentral:rRNA from 1 species